rnacentral:rRNA from 1 species
GACGAACCGUGCGAACGUUAUUCGGAAUCACUGGGCUUAAAGCGCGUGUAGGCGGGACGGCACGUCCGUCGCUGAAAUCCCCCGGCUCAACCGGGGAACGGGCGCGGAUACGACCGUCCUGGAGGGACGUAGGGGGACCUGGAACUUCCGGUGGAGCGGUGAAAUGCGUUGAGAUCGGAAGGAACGCCCGUGGCGAAAGCGAGGUCCUGGACGUCUGCUGACGCUGAGACGCGAAAGCCAGGGGAGCAAACGGG